rnacentral:rRNA from 1 species
GCUGGCGACCAUAGCAAAAGUGAACCACCUGAUCCCUUCCCGAACUCAGAAGUGAAACCUCUUAGCGCUGAUGGUAGUGUGGGAUUACCCAUGUGAGAGUAAGUCAUCGCCAGCU